rnacentral:rRNA from 1 species
CAGUCGCCGCGGGAAUACGAAGGGUGCAAGCGUUACUCGGAAUUACUGGGCGUAAAGCGUGCGUAGGUGGUGGUUUAAGUCCGUUGUGAAAGCCCUGGGCUCAACCUGGGAAUUGCAGUGGAUACUGGGUCACUAGAGUGUGGUAGAGGAUAGUGGAAUUUCCGGUGUAGCAGUGAAAUGCGUAGAGAUCGGAAGGAACAUCUGUGGCGAAGGCGACUAUCUGGGCCAACACUGACACUGAGGCACGAAAGCGUGGGGAGCAAACAGGAUUAGAUACCCCAGUAGUCCCUGUCUCUUAUAA